GCGUCUUUAAUCCUAAUGGUAAGGAGCUUGUCUAGAAAACAAGUAGUAAUCGUAGAAAUAUGGUGUCUUGGUUCAAGUCCAAGAAGGCGCG
rnacentral:tRNA from 1 species